AUGCCUCUCUCACACACCCUCACACACACACCCUCUCGCACACACGCACACACACUCUGUCACACACACACACACCCUCACACACACACCCUCUCAUACUCACACACAUGCCUCUCACCCUCUCACACACACACGCUCACACACACACACGCCUUUCUCACACACACCUCACACACACCCCUCUCAGACACACACUGUCACACCCUCUCACACACACCCUCUCUCUCACACUGUCACACACACCCUCUCUCUUUCACACACACACUCUCACACCCUCUCACACACACCCUCUCACACACACACCCCUCUCACACACACUAUCACACCCUCACACACACACACCCUCUCACACACACCGUCUCUCUCACACACCCUCACACACUCACGCACACACACCCUCUCGCACACACGCACACACACUCUGUCACACAUAUACACUCUCACACACACCCCCUCUCUCACACACACCUCACACACACCCCUCUCACACACACACCCUCUCUCCCUCAAACACACACACGCACCUCUUUCUCACACACACACACCCUCUCACACACACCCUCUCACACAUACCCUCUCUCACACACCCCUCUCCCUCUCUCACACACACACACCCUCACACUCUCAUGCACACACACUCUGUCACACACAUACACACUCACACACCCUCACACACACUCUCAUACACACACAUGCCUCUCUCUCACACACACUCACACCCUCUCACACACACACCUCUCUCUCCCUCUCACACACACACACACACGCACCUCUUUCUCACACACCCUCUCACACACACGCCUCUCUCACACAACCCUCACACACACACCUCUCUCAGGCACACACGCACACACGCCUCACUCACACUCUCACACACACACACCUCUCACCCUCACACACACACCUCUCACACUCACACGCCUCACUCACACUCUCACACACACCUCCACGCACACACACACACACACACGCCUCACACACCCUCACACCCCUCUCACACACACUCUCACACUCACACACGCGCCUCUCACACACACCUCUCACGCACACACACUCACUCUCUCACACACACCCCAUGUUCGAGGACAGGGUCUGUUCGCUCCCCGCAGCCGUCCGCUACACAAAUGA
rnacentral:lncRNA from 1 species